CAUAUAUAUAUGUAUUUAAAAAUAAAGGUAGUGUUCUAUAAACUUAGAUAGGCUAGUGAUAAAAGAAACACGAUGUUUACAUUAUGGAUAACAAUUCACU